GAUGAACGCUGGCGGCGUGCUUAACACAUGCAAGUCGAACGGAAAGGCCCUGCCGUUGUGGGGCGCUCGAGGGGCGAACGGGUGAGUAACACGUGAGUAACCUGCCCGUGGGUUUGGGAUAACGUCAGGAAACUGGGUCUAAUACCGGAUCGGAGGUUGUGCUGCAUGGUGGGGGCUGGAAAGUUUCGGCGGUUGGGGUUGGACCCGCGGCUUAUCAGCUUGUUGGUGGGGUGGUGGCUUACCAAGGCAUUGACGGGUAGCCGGCCUGAGUGGGCGACCGGCCACAUUGGGACUGAGAUACGGCCCAGACUCGUACGGGAGGCAGCAGUGGGGAAUAUUGCACAGUGGGCGGGAGCCUGAUGCAGCAACGCCGCGUGCGGGAUGACGGCCUUCGGGUUGUAAACCGCUUUCGCCUGUGACGAAGCGUGAGUGACGGUAAUGGGUAAAGAAGCACCGGCUAACUACGUG
rnacentral:rRNA from 1 species